CUUUUUUAAAAUUCCACUCCCUAAAACAGAGGUCCCCAACCCCUGGGCCAGUGCUGGUCCAUGGCCCGUUAAGAACUGGGUCACACAGCAGCAAGUGAGCAGCAAGUGAGUGAGCAUUGCAGCCUGAGCUCCGCCUCCUGUUAGAUGAGCAGUGGCAUUAGAUUCUCAUAGGAACGUGAACGCUAUUGUGAACUGUGCAUGCAAGGGACCUAGGCUGCACACUCCUUAUGGAAAUCUAACUAUCCACCACUUCUCCC